rnacentral:rRNA from 1 species
AACGAACGCUGGCGGCAUGCCUAACACAUGCAAGUCGAACGAGACCUUCGGGUCUAGUGGCGCACGGGUGCGUAACGCGUGGGAACCUGCCCUUAGGUUCGGAAUAACUCCCCGAAAGGGGUGCUAAUACCGGAUAAUGUCUUCGGACCAAAGAUUUAUCGCCUUUGGAUGGGCCCGCGUUGGAUUAGCUAGUUGGUAGGGUAAAAGCCUACCAAGGCGACGAUCCAUAGCUGGUCUGAGAGGAUGAUCAGCCACACUGGGACUGAGACACGGACCAGACUCCUACGGGAGGGAGCAGUGGGGAAUAUUGGACGAUGGGCGAAAGCCUGAUCCAGCAAUGCCGCGUGAGUGAUGAAGGCCUUAGGGUUGUAAAGCUCUUUUACCCGGGAUGAUAAUGACAGUACCGGGAGAAUAAGCUCCGGCUAACUCCGUG